CGCACGGGUGAGUAACACGUAUCCAACCUGCCGUCUACUCUUGGACAGCCUUCUGAAAGGAAGAUUAAUACAAGAUGGCAUCAUGAGUCCGCAUGUUCACAUGAUUAAAGGUGUUCCGGUAGACGAUGGGGAUGCGUUCCAUUAGAUAGUAGGCGGGUAACGGCCCACCUAGUCUUCGAUGGAUAGGGGUUCUGAGAGGAAGGUCCCCCACAUUGGAACUGAGACACGGUCCAA
rnacentral:rRNA from 1 species